AGCUCCAAUAGCGUAUAUUAAAGUUGCUGCAGUUAAAAAGCUCGUAGUUGCAUUUCCGAGGCAAGGGAUUAGUCCGACCUUUGGUGGGUAUUUAAUCCUCUUGCCUCGUCCUUGAGUGGUGCUUCUUGGUAUUAAGUUAUCGAGGAGAUAGCCGCUCAUCGUUUACUGUGAGAAAAUUAGAGUGUUCAAAGCAGGCUUAUGCCGUUGAAUAUAUUAGCAUGGAAUAAUAAGAUAGGACCGCGGUACUAGUUUGUUGGUUUGAGAACCAAGGUAAUGAUGAAUAGGGACAGUUGGGGGUAUUCGUAUUCAGUUGUCAGAGGUGAAAUUCUUAGAUUUACGGAAGACGAACUACUGCGAAAGCAUUUACCAAGGAUGUUUUCA
rnacentral:rRNA from 1 species